rnacentral:rRNA from 1 species
AACGCUAGCUACAGGCUUAACACAUGCAAGUCGAGGGGCAGCAUAAAAGUAGCAAUACUUUGGUGGCGACCGGCGCACGGGUGAGUAACGCGUAUGCAACCUACCUAUCAGAGGGGAAUAACCCGGCGAAAGUCGGACUAAUACCGCAUAAAACAGGGACACCGCAUGGUGAUAUUUGUUAAAGAAAUUCGCUGAUAGAUGGGCAUGCGUUCCAUUAGGUAGUUGGUGAGGUAACGGCUCACCAAGCCGACGAUGGAUAGGGGAACUGAGAGGUUGGUCCCCCACACUGGUACUGAGACACGGACCAGACUCCUACGGGAGGCAGCAGUGAGGAAUAUUGGUCAAUGGGCGAGAGCCUGAACCAGCCAAGUCGCGUGAAGGAAGAAGGAUCUAUGGUUCGUAAGCUUCUUCUGCAGGGGAAUAAAGUGCAGGACGUGUCCUGUUUUGUAUGUACCCUGAGAAUAAGGAUCGGCUAACUCCGUGCCAGCAGCCGCGGUAAUACGGAGGAUCCGAGCGUUAUCCGGAUUUAUUGGGUUUAAAGGGUGCGUAGGUGGUUUGAUAAGUCAGCGGUGAAAGUUUGCAGCUUAACUGUAAAAAUGCCGUUGAAACUGUCGGACUUGAGUGUAAAUGAGGUAGGCGGAAUGCGUGGUGUAGCGGUGAAAUGCAUAGAUAUCACGAAGAACUCCGAUUG